GUAUUUCCACUACAUUUGAUUAAGCUACAGGUUUAAUGUAGUUUUAUUCUUUCCUGCAUUACCAUUAGCAUGUUUAACCUGGAGGACAAAUAUACAAAUAAUGAAGUAGUGAAAUGCUAACUGUGUUUUCUUCAACAACACUGACUUACAGACUUUUAGUGAAUUAUGAUAAAUGUUUAUAGGUGAUCAUGUUACUAUUGCAUCAGAAACAUCUAAACCAGCUCUGUGUGAUAAUUCAGUGGUGUGUGAACCAACACUGCAUGGAAACAGCACUAACAUGAACACACACGAGAAAACAGGUAACAUGUCAUAUAAUUCAGUGUUAAUUAAUUAUCCUUAAUCUGUACAGUAUAAUUCGGCCAGAAAAUAAAUUGUACUGAUAUAAAUGUAAUGUUUUAUAAUAACUGAACCGGAAAUGAUCAGAUCUCUACACUCGACAGUGCUCGGUUUGGGAACGGCUUUGGGUUUGUGCGCACUUCUGAUUUUCUGUCUCAUUUAUUUCAUACUGAGGAGAAGAAAAUGUGAUAAAAUAAACGCUUCUAUAGAAGAUUGUUCAGGAAUGAGGCAGGAAUCUGAAGCAGAAACACUCAAUUAUGCAGCUUUGAAAUUCCCCAAGAGGAAAGCCAGAGCUGAAAAAAGGAAAACUGGCUCAUCAUAUGAGUGUGUGUACUCCGAUGUGAAAUAUAACUUUAAAAUGUAACAUAAAUUAUUCAUAGCACAAAGAAUUCUUAUAGAAAUAAAAUAUCUUGACUAUAGACAAAUAUAUCCCAUAUUUUUACGUUUUACAUUUGCAUACUGUAUAUUUUUUUUAUAGUA